AGUGAACGCUGGCGGUAGGCCUAACACAUGCAAGUCGAACGGCAGCACAGUAAGAGCUUGCUCUUACGGGUGGCGAGUGGCGGACGAGUGAGGAAUACAUCGGAAUCUACUUUUUCGUGGGGGAUAACGUAGGGAAACUUACGCUAAUACCGCAUACGGCCUACGGGUGAAAGCAGGGGAUCUUCGGACCUUGCGCGAUUGAAUGAGCCGAUGUCGGAUUAGCUAGUUGGCGGGGUAAAGGCCCACCAAGGCGACGAUCCGUAGCUGGUCUGAGAGGAUGAUCAGCCACACUGGAACUGAGACACGGUCCAGACUCCUACGGGAGGCAGCAGUGGGGAAUAUUGGGCAAUGGGCGCAAGCCUGAUCCAGCCAUACCGCGUGGGUGAAGAAGGCCUUCGGGUUGUAAAGCCCUUUUGUUGGGAAAGAAAAGCAGCAGGUUAAUACCCCGCUGUUCUGACGGUACCCAAAGAAUAAGCACCGGCUAACUUCGUG
rnacentral:rRNA from 1 species